rfam:Alligator mississippiensis ScZkoYb_34, whole genome shotgun sequence.
UGGUUCAGUGAUAGAAUUCUUGUCUACCACACAAGAGACCUGGGUUCAGUUCCCAG